rnacentral:pre_miRNA from 1 species
UACAAUGUUUUGACUCUUCAUCUUAUUUGAAUUUUUUUGUGAUAAAUAUUUUUAUUCUUACUAGAUGAUAAAAUACGAAUAGUACUUUAUGCGUGAAUAAAUUUUUUAAGUUUUUUAAUAAAUUUUUUAAAUAAGAUAAAUGGUCAAACGUUGGACAUGGAAAAAC